rnacentral:rRNA from 1 species
AACGAACGCUGGCGGCAGGCUUAACACAUGCAAGUCGAACGCCCCGCAAGGGGAGUGGCAGACGGGUGAGUAACGCGUGGGAAUCUACCGUGCCCUACGGAAUAACUCCGGGAAACUGGAACUAAUACCGUAUACGCCCUUUGGGGGAAAGAUUUAUCGGGGUAUGAUGAGCCCGCGUUGGAUUAGCUAGUUGGUGGGGUAAAGGCCUACCAAGGCGACGAUCCAUAGCUGGUCUGAGAGGAUGAUCAGCCACAUUGGGACUGAGACACGGCCCAAACUCCUACGGGAGGCAGCAGUGGGGAAUAUUGGACAAUGGGCGCAAGCUUGAUCCAGCCAUGCCGCGUGAGUGAUGAAGGCCCUAGGGUUGUAAAGCUCUUUCACCGGUGAAGAUAAUGACGGUAGCCGGAGAAGAAGCCCCGGCUAACUUCGUGCCAGCCGCCGCCGUAA